UGGCACUAAACCAGGUUAACAAAAUGCAAUAGCUGUGAUUGUAACACAUGCUAUGUUCAAAUAACUAAAAUAUAGCUUAAUAUGAUAAUAGUAGUCUGGAUCGCUCAAUAUGCUUAAGACAAUCAUAGCAUUUCCUGCAAUAUAUUGGACAACAAACUAUCCAACACCAUUUCAGCCUGAUUUAGUGUGCUGUGUGAACCCAGAUAUUAAAUGAGUCACUGGCAACUUUUAGCUAAAUUGCUUACUUGUUAUUCAAAUGGGGAUAGCAGGGUUAACCAGAAAAGACUAGUUUCAGUACUUGGGAUCUGUAAAGCAGAAAAUAUUGUGUCUCUGAGUACAUACAAGGAUUGGUGGCAUCUGAAGGCUUUCCUUCAGUCACCAAGGCACUCCACUGAAGGGGGUAGAGCAGACUAGAUUUUUCUCUCCCAUUUCUUACAUGAAUUUUCCCUUACUGACGUCAUACGCAUCAUACCAUACGUCAUACGUAUGCACAAACCACACUCCUUGUGAAAACAGAUCAUGUAUAGGAGUUCAAUAAGUCUCCUAGGAAGCCAGGACUCCAAGCUUCUUCCCAGAAUUAUUGCCAUUUUUAAGGCUUCUGGCUCUCUUAUUUGUAGAAGUACCAGAAAAUCAGACUGGCAGUAUUUCAUCCAAAUGUUCAGCAAUACAUAAAUCUGAUCUGUUAUGCUUGCCUUCCAGCAUUCUGGCCAACUGGCAUUGCUAACUAAUAGGAGUCAAAAUAUUAUUUAAUGCCAUGAAAUCCUUUCCAACGCAGGAGGUAAAUGUUUAGGUUCUUGGCACUUUCUCUGUUUGCCACUCUUGCUCUAUCCUUCUUAGUGCACGCUCAAGAUUUGCACCCUAUAAACUCUCUAGCUAAGGAUCUCUUUGUUCUGAUUGUGGUCCCAUUGCAGCAGACUUUAGCAGAGUCUGUGGUACAAACAUUAAAAUGGGAAAAUGGGAUAGACCAGAAUUCUCUACCAUAUCACAACUGUUUCUGCCACCUCCAGCAUAAUGACAAUAAACAAAGUAUGGGUCAUGUAUUGCCUUUGAUUCUUCACUUAAAAUUGACAUCAGCACCAGAAUGUCCUGGUGUCUCCUGUGUUCUGUCCUAGCAACUGCUCCUAGCUUGUUUCCAGCAUCAGACUUCCAUUUAAGUCAAGAGAAACAUUUGUUCAAUGGACAAAGAUUGAUCUACCUCUAAAUGCUCAUUAUUCCCACUACUCUUGCUUAGUAUUUUCAUAUACUGUAAAAUAUAGUGCAAAUCAUUGUUAAUUACUUCCCUCUCUGGAUUGCUCCUGACAGUCAAGUUAAACUGUUCACCACCAAUAUGUGAGGAUCAGAAAAUUUGUUGGCAUAAAUUUUGCUUCUUCCUGUUGCCAGACCAUGUUGUCAUAGUAAUGAGGUUGGCUAGUGGUCUUGUCCUUCCUUACUCAUUGUUGUAGCCCAAGCGGAUAGAAGAAGAGCGAAUUCUCUAGCUUUGUUUCCCCUGCAAUCAAGAUCCACCUGCUGGAUGGAAAAAUAUCCACCAUUCUCCUUAAUAUGGGUUCAGGAUGAGGAGAAUUUAUAGCAGAUAAAGAACAGAACUAUUCUGAAAAGUUGCCUAAUAAUGCAAGGUGGUAAAACGGAAAGGUGCACUCCCGACCCUCCUCACAACCCCUCUUAUGUGUCCAUUGACUGCCACUUGGGCUGUUAUGUUUUAGUAUAAUUACAACGAAUCUCAAAAAUCGAAAGUCAUUAUGUUGUUAGUCACACGUAAUAUUUGUAUUACGUGUGCUAAAAAAAAACAAAAGCAAGCAGCAUCUACGUGUAAUGGGGAGCGGCCUUCCACAGUUUUUCGGCUCGGGAAAGAAAUCACGCAGUACAGAUUAACGCGCAGCAGCACCUCGCUGGGUAAAUCUGGAAGGCCGCCGGUUGCCCUCCCAUUGAUCCGAGCAGCCUUCGGCAUCUUUUCUCUCCUCCUCCUCCCUGCUGUUCUCCGGCGGGCUAAUCGUGCACCUUCCUCGGCUUUGGAACCACUGCUCUUACUCCCUGAGCGGCGGAAACAAUGGUGGCAUUGCUGAGUACUGUUUGACCCGGGCCAAGCGGGGCCUCGGGAGAGAGGCCUUUGUGUUCACAGGAAUUAGCGAUUGUUGUGCCAGCCCGAGGGACACGCGAGAGACACGCGAACUCCUCCGCCCGCCUCCCCGUGCCCGGCUUCGGCCCUUAUUUUCCUUUUAAGCUGCGCUCCCUCCCUCGCUUGUCAACCACCUCCCUCUUUUGUUCGGCGCUAUUAGCAUAAAGCUGCCACGGAUCUCCCGUUUAAAUAAUUACGCCGUAAAGAAGGGGGGAUAUGAAAGAACGAAAACAAGAAAAAACAAAACCCACGAAACGGAGGGAGGGGAGGAAGAGAGCUCCUAUUUUCUCUUGUUCCAUUUUCGUGUCCGCGCAUUGAAUGCCGGGACCAGCUUGGGUCCCACCGCAAUUGAAGUGAACCCGUGAAGACACAGCCCUUCUUCACUCGCCUGUUUUGGUGGCAAAUGAGGUUGAAGCCCCCCGGAAGGGCCAGUGGAGCCAAGCGGCCUGAAGGAGAAGAAACGGCCCACUUGGCCUCGGGAAAAUACACUGGGCCAUAUUUCCCGCCUCAACGAAGCCGGGGCCAAAGACUUUUCCGGACUGACCCUGACCCUAAUUUGGAACGAGAGGAAGUGAUUUGCUCAAGGUCACCCAGCUGGCUUUCAUACCUACAGGAGGACUAAAGCAGGGGUGUCAAACUGCCAGCCUGCAGGAUGGUUUCAUCAUACCGAAACUGCAUCCACCCCAUUGCCGGCAAUGCAAAAAGAGUCAUGAUACGUCGUGACACGUCAAGUGAGGUGGCAAGUUUGAUACCCGUGGACCAGAGCCUGGGCCUCCAUGGUCUUAGUCCAGAACCUAAACCAUUAUACCACACUGACUCAUUUUUACUUAUUUAAUAGUUCUAGUGUUUAAAGCCUUCUCCCAUUGAAAAUAGCAUGUGUAUGCAUAUGAUAUAAAGAGUAAACUUUAACUCCUCAGUUGAUGUUUAGUAGGAGAGGACUGCUUCCUACCAAGGGAGAAUCCUUGUUGUAGUAGAAUUCUAACUUCCCAGUUAUAUUUAAUUGGGAUGCUUCCUCCUCAUGCAGCUAUAUGGAGAUUUUCCUUUGACCACAUAUAUGAGAUAAAUAGCCUAGCAAGAAUCUCAAUACGGCCAUGAGCACAAUGGUGCCUACGGCAUUGUGUUGGAAAUACUGGAACUGAUGGACAAGAAGCAUUUGAGGAGUAGGUAAAAGGAGAAGAUAUUAAAUCUAGGAAGAAUGUGAUGGUGAAGCAGGACUGAUAAGUCAGCGCACCAAGUACUCCUCCACACACUCUGGAGAUCUCAGAAGCCUCAUGGCAUACAUACCCAGAUGAUGUACAAUUGACACAUUAUGUCAAUAUACACUACUAAUGAAGACAGUGUUUUUUAUGCACACAAAGACCAAAAAGCAUAAUAUCAGAAAAUGUAGAGAAUAGGGAACAACAAACAAGAGAAACAGUAUCUUCUAAAAGAAAUGGAGGAUCUAUAAGCAUUUUACUAUCACUCCAAACCAAAAUCAUAAUUAUCUAAGUCUAAGAAACUGAACUAAUGCAAGAAGAAAGUCUCUUUGUAUACCCUCCCCAAACUCAACUGAACACAGAGAAGUAUGUUCUAUUGAAUAAAAUUAGACUAGGGAUAUAGCACUUUUGAAAAAUUUAAAGUGAUAGAAUAAACCCCAUUUUAGUAAAUAUAGUUUAUUCAAACAAUAAUGACACUGUUGUUCUUUAUUUUUAUUUCAAAAGGAACAAAGCUAUUAAACUCUAAGGAAUUAGCAUCUGUUUAUUUUUCCCAAUUUAGGAAAAGAAGAUAGGCAAACAUAGAAAACAGAAGAAGUCAUUAACAUAGUAUUAAAAUGAAGAAAAUAUGUAUUUUACAAAAAUAUUUUCAGAAAAAAGAUGGAAAGCUCAAAAUAUUUUGUCAUGUAAAGUAAUCAGUUUUUCUUGAUCUAAUACUAUCACUAUUUCUUAAAAUUUCCAAUGUUUUAUUUUUAUUAUUUUCUGGACUUAUAAAAGCUAAACCUUAACUAUAUGGAGGAAACCUUUCUUUUAUGUCAUUUGCUGUAUUUUCCGGUGUAUAAGACGACUCGGCGUAUAAGACGACCCCCGACUUCGGAGAAGAUUUGCAUGGUUAGAAAGUCGUCAUAUGCCGGAAAAUAUGGUAUUUUCCGGCGUAUAAGACGACUCGACGUAAAAGACGACCCCCGACUUCGGAGAAGAUUUGCAUGGUUUAGAAAGUCGUCUUAUACGCCGGAAAAUACGGUACUUCUUGAUUUACUUUCAAGCACAGACCAAUUACUUUUUAUUUAAAUAUAUAUACAUAAUUUUGAAAAAAAAUAUUAAAACUGUUUUUAAGCCAUUUUCAGUCAUCUCCAGGUUUAAGUGGAAAAAUACCUUCAGUAAGAAAAACUAAUAUUCUUCCUAGCAAAUAGGACAGGUUCUCAAAUAUCUGAAAUUAUUAUCAAUCAUAAUCACACUGAAUCAGAUCAAAUAUGUUUACCUGAACUGAAUAAAUUGUAUAGACUUGCAUAGAACUUGGAGCACUUAAACUCAUUGACUUCAAUCAGUUUUUCAGUGAGUAACCAAAUAGGAGUUCACUUUUCUUGGUGUAGUGUGAAUCAGCACGCCAAAAUUACAAGGUAUCUUUCUCAUUAGCAGCCAUCCUUUGGAAUUAGUCAACUUUCUGUGGUUUUUUUUUUCAUUUCUUUUUCUUCUUUUCUUUUGUCUUUUUCUUGCUUUUCUUUAUAUUUUUAUAUUUUAUGUCGCAAUAAAAUUCUAAUGAAAGUAUUUUUUUAAAAAAAUUUAGGUGCAAAUUCAGAAUUCAAAUUUUUGUUGAGUUUUCUACAAUGUUUUGAUGUAACAGUUGGGUACUGGCAUCUGAGUAUUAAUUCAAGGAUAGUUAUCCAUGCGCCAAUUUACUUAGCUCCGUAGGCUUAGGUAUUCUUUUAUUUGUGAUUUUAAAAAUUUAAACUAUUAUUUUAAUAGUUUUGACUUGUUUCAUUUUUAAAUUUAUUGUACACUGUUUUGUAAUGUCACUGAUAUGGCAAGUACAGAGAAAUUGUUCAAUCAAA